AUACGUAGGGGGCGAGCGUUGUCCGGAAUGAUUGGGCGUAAAGGGCGCGUAGGCGGCCCGGUAAGUCUGGAGUGAAAGUCCUGUUUUUAAGAUGGGAAUUGCUUUGGAUACUGUCGGGCUUGAGUGCAGGAGAGGUAAGUGGAAUUCCCAGUGUAGCGGUGAAAUGCGUAGAGAUUGGGAGGAACACCAGUGGCGAAGGCGGCUUACUGGAAUGUAACUGACGCUGAGGCGCGAAAGUGUGGGGAGCAAACAGGAUUAGAUACCCUGGUAGUCCACACCGUAAACGAUGAAUGCUAGGUGUAGGGGGUAUCGACCCCUUCUGUGCCGCAGUCAACACAAUAAGCAUUCCGCCUGGGGAGUACGGCCGCAAGGUUGAAACUCAAAGGAAUUGACGGGG
rnacentral:rRNA from 1 species